rfam:Ipomoea nil DNA, scaffold: scaffold2480, cultivar: Tokyo-kokei standard.
GUGAGCGUGCCAAAGUGGUUAUUGGGCAUGACUAGAAAUAAUGUGGGCUUUGCUCGCGUAGGUUCGAAUCUUAUCGCUCACG